GAUGAAGAACGCAGCGAAAUGCGAUAAGUAAUGUGAAUUGCAGAAUUCAGUGAAUCAUCGAAUCUUUGAACGCACAUUGCGCCCCUUGGUAUUCCGAGGGGCAUGCCUGUUCGAGCGUCAUUAUAACCCCUCAAGCUCAGCUUGGUGUUGGGGCCUGCUGCACUGGCAGCCCUUAAAAUCAGUGGCGGCGCCAUCUGGCUCUAAGCGUAGUAAUUCUUCUCGCUGUUGGGCCCGGGUGGCCGCUGGCCAGCAACCCCAAAUUUUCUAUGGUUGACCUCGGAUCAGGUAGGGAUACCCGCUGAACUUAAGCAUAUCAAUAAGCGGAGGA
rnacentral:misc_RNA from 1 species